rnacentral:rRNA from 1 species
GACGAACGCUGGCGGCGUGCUUAACACAUGCAAGUCGAACGGUGAAGCGCCUUCCUUUUUGGUGGGUGUGGAUGAGUGGCGAACGGGUGAGUAACACGUGAGUAACCUGCCCCCUUCUUCUGGAUAACCGCAUGAAAGUGUGGCUAAUACGGGAUAUUCUGGGUCUGUCGCAUGAUGGGUCUGGGAAAGAUAUUGUUUCGGUGGGGGAUGGGCUCGCGGCCUAUCAGCUUGUUGGUGGGGUGAUGGCCUACCAAGGCGGUGACGGGUAGCCGGCCUGAGAGGGUGGACGGCCAGACUGGGACUGCGACACCGCUGGGACUGCUACGGGAGGCAGCAGCGGGGAAUAGUGAACAAUGGGGGAAAGCGUGAUGCAGCGACGCCGCGUGAGGGAUGGAGGCCUUCGGGUUGUGAACCUCUUUCGCUAGUGAAGCAGGCCUGCCUCGUUUGUGGGUGGGUUGACAGUAGCUGGAGAAGAAGCGCCGGCUAACUACGUG